rnacentral:rRNA from 1 species
UUACUCCUUGCUGUUUUACGUUACCAACAGAAUAAGCACCGGCUAACUUCGUGCCNGCAGCCGCGGUAAUACGAAANGGGGNNAGCGUUAAUCGGAAUUACUGGGCGUAAAGCGCGCGUAGGUGGUUCAGCAAGUUGGAUGUGAAAUCCCCGGGCUCAACCUGGGAACUGCAUCCAAAACUACUGAGCUAGAGUACGGUAGAGGGUGGUGGAAUUUCCUGUGUAGCGGUGAAAUGCGUAGAUAUAGGAAGGAACACCAGUGGCGAANGCGACCACCUGGACUGAUACUGACACUGAGGUGCGAAAGCGUGGGGAGCAAACANGAUUAGAUACCCUGGUAGUCCACGCCGUAAACGAUGUCGACUAGCCGUUGGGAUCCUUGAGAUCUUAGUGGCGCAGCUAACGCGAUAAGUCGACCGCCUGGGGAGUACGGCCGC